rfam:Oryza glaberrima chromosome 9 Oglab09_0066_14, whole genome shotgun sequence.
AAUAAGUGCAGUUUUGCACUGUCAUGUCCAACAUUUGAUUGUUCAUCUUUUAAAUUUGUUAUGAUUAGUAUUUUUAAUGUUAUUAGAUGAUAAAAUAUGAACAAUACUUUAUGUGUGACUAAUUUUUUUAAUUUUUUACAUAAAAUUUUCAAAUAAGACGGACGGUCAAACAUUAGACACGGAUACACACACAUGCACUUAUU